rnacentral:rRNA from 1 species
UACGGAGGGAGCGAGCGUUGUCCGAAGUUACUGGGCGUAAAGCGCGCGUAGGCGGGAAAUUAAGUGAGAAGUGAAAGGCUGGGGCUCAACCCCAUGCAGUGCUCCUCAUACUGGUUUUCUUGAGGGUGGUAGAGAGAAGUGGAAUGGCUGGUGUAGCGGUGAAAUGCGUAGAUAUCAGUCGGAACACCAGUGGCGAAGGCGGCUUGCCAGAAUGCGCUCGACGGUGAGGGAUGAAAGCUGGGGGAGCAAACCGG